UACGUAGGCACCAAGCGUUGUCCGGAUUUAUUGGGCGUAGAGAGCUCGUAGGCGGUUCAGUAAGUCGGGUGUGAAAACUUUGGGCUUAACCCAAAGCGUGCAUCCGAUACUGCUGUGACUUGAGUUCGGUAGGGGAGUGGGGAAUUCCUAGUGUAGCGGUGAAAUGCACAGAUAUUAGGAGGAACACCGGUGGCGAAGGCGCCACUCUGGGCCGAAACUGACGCUGAGGAGCGAAAGCAUGGGUAGCAAACAGG
rnacentral:rRNA from 1 species